UGAACGCUGGCGGCGUGCUUAACACAUGCAAGUCGUGCGAGAACGGUCUCUUCGGAGACUUAGUAGAGCGGCGCACGGGUGAGUAACGCGUGGAUUAUCUCCCUGGAAGUUCGGGAUAACAGUGGGAAACUGCUGCUAAUACCGGCUACGCUUUCAAUUUAUAUUGAAGGGAAAGGCGGCCUCUAUUUAUAUGCUGUCGCUUCCAGAUGAGUCCGCGUUCCAUUAGCUAGUUGGUGGGGUAACGGCCCACCAAGGCCACGAUGGAUAGCUGGUCUGAGAGGAUGAUCAGCCACACUGGAACUGAAACACGGUCCAGACUCCUACGGGAGGCAGCAGUGGGGAAUAUUGCGCAAUGGGGGAAACCCUGACGCAGCGACGCCGUGUGAGGGAAGAAGGUUUUCGGAUCGUAAACCUCUGUCAGGAGGGAAGAACCGCCAAGGGUACAAUAUGCCUUUGGUCUGACGGUACCUCCAGAGGAAGCACCGGCUAACUCC
rnacentral:rRNA from 1 species